rnacentral:rRNA from 1 species
AGGACGAACGCUGGCGGCGUGCUUAACACAUGCAAGUCAAGGGGGCCCAGCAAUGGACAACCGGCGAACGGGUGCGUAACACGUGAGCAACCUACCGAACUGUGGGGGAUAGCCGGCCUAACGGCCGAGUAAUACCGCAUACGCUCUCAGGGAGGCAUUUCUUUGAGAGGAAACCUACGGGACAGAUCGAGGGGCUCGCGGCCUAUCAGCUAGUUGGCGAGGUAACGGCUCACCAAGGCAACGACGGGUAGC